rnacentral:lncRNA from 1 species
UUCCUCACACGCUUCGAGUCUUGCUCAGGGCCGGCGGCGGCCGGCGAACCUGUCUCCAUCUCCAUCGCACUCGGGAUCGGGUUCUCAUCGGCAUAGCGAGGCGAUGGGUGGCUGGAUUCAGCCGUCGUUUGGUUCGGGUCAUCCGAAGAACCGAAGCUCCGUAGUCGUCGGAAGAAGGAAUCGGAAGAGAAGAAGGAAACGGGGAAGAUGCGGCCGGUGGUUUGGGCCGAGUCACCAUCCGACGAACCUCCGAAACUCAAUAGUCGUCUAAAGAAGGAGUUGGAGCGGAAGGAAGAAGCGGAGAAGAUGCGGGCCAUUUCCAUAGCGAAGCUUGGAGAUGACCCAAAAGUACAUAUAAAUUUUCAUUCCCUUUUGGGAGGGGGGCGAGAGAGAGGAG